rnacentral:misc_RNA from 1 species
AGCUGUGGCCAUAGCUCUUCAUCCCUAAUAUUGUUUAUUGUAACAGAUAUCUUGUCUACAACCUGAAUUGAAAAUUUUAUCUUUGUGGAGAGAGUCCUAAUUAAUGUCCGAGUUGCAUCAACUUUAUGAGCUUCAGCACCCCUCUCAUCCAAACGCUUCAGCUUACGGCACUUCCUCUCAUGAACUACCCGCAUUUUCUCCUCAGCCUUAACUUCAUUAUAGAGUUUCUUCUCCCAAAGAUGCAGCUUAUGCAAGGUAGCAGAAAGGUUUUUCGACCUCAUCUUCAAAUCUUCAUCUAUUUCCAAGUACGCUGGAUCAGUCUUGUCCGUGGAAGAUGAGGC